rnacentral:rRNA from 1 species
AACGAACGCUGGCGGCAUGCCUAACACAUGCAAGUCGAACGAGAUCUUCGGAUCUAGUGGCGCACGGGUGCGUAACGCGUGGGAAUCUGCCCUUGGGUGCGGAAUAACUUUCCGAAAGGAAUGCUAAUACCGCAUAAUGUCGUAAGACCAAAGAUUUAUCGCCCAAGGAUGAGCCCGCGUAAGAUUAGCUAGUUGGUGGGGUAAAAGCCUACCAAGGCGACGAUCUUUAGCUGGUCUGAGAGGAUGAUCAGCCACACUGGGACUGAGACACGGCCCAGACUCCUACGGGAGGCAGCAGUGGGGAAUUUUGGACAAUGGGCGCAAGCCUGAUCCAGCCAUGCCGCGUGAGUGAAGAAGGCCUGG